rnacentral:rRNA from 1 species
CGGACGGGUGGAGAAUGUCUGGGAAACUGCCCGAUGGAGGGGGGUAACUACUGGAAACGGUAGCUAAUACCGCAUAACGUCGCAAGACCAAAGAGGGGGACCUUCGGGCCUCUUGCCAUCGGAUGUGCCCAGAUGGGAUUAGCUAGUAGGUGGGGUAACGGCUCACCUAGGCGACGAUCCCUAGCUGGUCUGAGAGGAUGACCAGCCACACUGGAACUGAGACACGGUCCAG